rnacentral:rRNA from 1 species
GAUGAACGCUGGCGGCGUGCCUAAUACAUGCAAGUCGAGCGACCAGACGAGGAGCUUGCUCCUCUGUAGUUAGCGGCGGACGGGUGAGUAACACGUGGAUAACCUACCUAUAAGACUGGGAUAACUUCGGGAAACCGGCGCUAAUAGCGGAUCAGAUAUUCAACCGCAUGGGUCUAUAGUGAUAGACGCUUUUGCGGUCACGUAUAGAUGGAUCCGCGCCGCAUUAGCUAGUUGGGAAGGGAACCGCUUACCAAGGCGACGAUACCUAGCCGACCUGAGAGGGGGCCAGGCCACCCGGGAACUGACCCACCCCUCAGACCCCUACGGGAGUGAGCAGUAGGGAAUCUGCCGCAGUGCGCGAAAGCCUUCCGGAGCCCCGCCGCGUGAGGCAUGAAGGUCUUCGGAUCGUAACACUCUCUUAUUAGUGAAGAACAAAUGUGUAAGUAACUAUGCACGUCUUGACGGUACCUAAUCAGAAAGCCACGGCUAACUACUUG